rnacentral:tRNA from 1 species
GCGACAGUAGCUCAGUGGUAGAGCCUCCGCUGCGCAUGCGGGGAGACCUGGGUUCGACUCCCGGCUGCUUCC